UACGUAGGUGGCGAGCGUUAUCCGGAUUUAUUGGGCGUAAAGCGUGCGCAGGCGGCUUAUUAAGUCUAAGAUUAAAGCCCGGAGCUUAACUCCGGUUCGUCUUAGAAACUGGUAGGCUUGAGUAUGGUAGAGGCAAACGGAAUUCCUAGUGUAGCGGUGGAAUGCGUAGAUAUUAGGAGGAACACCAGUGGCGAAGGCGGUUUGCUGGGCCAUUACUGACGCUCAUGCACGAAAGCGUGGGGAGCAAAUAGG
rnacentral:rRNA from 1 species